UUGCUUCAGCAGCACAUAUACUAAAAUUGGAACGAUACAGAGAAGAUUAGCAUGACCCCUGCGCAAAGAUAACACGCAAAUUUGUGAAGCAUUCCAUAUUUUU
rnacentral:snRNA from 1 species